AACCCAUUUGGGAUUAUUUUGUUCCCUUGGUCAUUUCUCUGAGGAUUACUUCACUCUCUCCAUCUUCCCGUGUGGCUGGCAGCAUGGACUUUUCUAAAAACCCCUGUUUUGAAAGUUGCUCACAUCGCUGGAGUCUUCAUUGGGAGGUCACAGCAUGUGAUGGGGAAGGAAGGGGACAGGAACAAGCAAGUGUUGCUUUGGCAUGUCACCUCAUGAAUUUGCUGUCUUCAUCCAUUAACAAGGUGGUAAGCUGGAUGAAAUUAUAGAUUUGGUUUGCUUAAGUGGGGAUUUAUGGCCUUUGGAGGGCUGAUAUCUAUGCAAAAUUGUAUGCAACAUAAUGUGUGUAGGUGCAGUUUUCUAGGGUAAAGUUCUACACCAUUCCUCAUGAUUUCAGAUGGAUCCAUGAAAGAUUAAGAGCUUUCUGUCUCAAGGAUUUAAAAAUUCCCCAUUGACUCUGUAGUCCCACAGCUACAGGACAUUUGAAUUUGGAUGAAAUAAUUUGGGGAAAUAGGUUUUCUGGGGAAAUUGAGAACUGAAGGCAUUUCCUGGUGAAAUAGGAAACUGUAUUUUUGACAGUUCCUUCUGGCAAUAGUAACAAGAAAAAAAUAAACGUACAAAUUUUCAGCUGACAGGUGGCCCAUCUUGUCCCUCUAUUUCAGUGGGACAAAUGCUACUUAGUUCUUUUAUGAAAAUGUGUAUUAUUAUGAGGGUUGUUAUUCAAGAUUUAGACCUGUUUUACAUACAUAUAAUGAUUAUACUAAUAUUUGUCAGUGUCAUUCAUGACUUUGCUAAUAAGACAGAAGGUUGCACAUUUUUUGCUUGAGUCCCACCACUAAUCACUCUAUAUUAAUCAAAGUUCUCUUUCCCUCCCCCUCCCCCCAUGGUAAUUUUUUGAAAUUGAUUUUAUUGAAGUAUAGCUGACUUACAAGGUUGUGUUAAUUUCAAGUUCUUUUGGUUGGUUGUGCUGUGACCAAAUAAAUCCUUUCCUUGUGGAAGGAUCUGGGAAGAGGGAUCUGGCAGAAUUGGGGCUGGGUUCUGAAUUAGGGAAAAAAUAGGAAAUUUGAGACUCAAUAAAUUUGGAGCUGGAAAAUUAGAUAAGAUUCUCUUUAAAGGAAAAAGGGAGAAGUACUUUUGAGCUGAGAAAAGCAGUAACAUCAAAUCCAAAGGAGGUCGGAUUGAUGUUAGGCUCAAGAUAUCAAAUGAUUGAAGUUAGAUAACAGUAUCAAUCAAGAUCAAAUGAUAAACUCUGCAAAAUGGCACUGAGAGCUGCCUUUCAUGCUGUGAAGGCACAUAUUUCUGGGAACUAAGCUGCUAUUUCUCCAUGGCAGCUCCCCUGGCUUUGAAAGGAGCUGGGUCAGUAUCAAAACCCUAGAGAAACUUCUGGCAUAACUGACCUGGCCUGGCCACCUGUGCCCACAGGGCACUGCUGUAAGGGUUUGGUGCCCAUACUGAUGGGGGUUGACUCUGUCCAGGCUCCAUCUUUUAAGAGUUUCUGCUUCUCUUUGCU
rnacentral:lncRNA from 9 species